rnacentral:rRNA from 1 species
AGUGAACGCUGGCGGCAGGCCUAACACAUGCAAGUCGAACGGAUCCUUCGGGAUUAGUGGCGGACGGGUGAGUAACGCGUGGGAACGUGCCCUUUGGUACGGGAUAACUGAGGGAAACUUCAGCUAAUACCGUAUGUGCCCUACGGGGGAAAGAUUUAUCGCCAUUGGAGCGGCCCGCGUUGGAUUAGCUAGUUGGUGGGGUAAAGGCUCACCAAGGCUACGAUCCAUAGCUGGUCUGAGAGGAUGAUCAGCCACACUGGGACUGAGACACGGCCCAGACUCCUACGGGAGGCAGCAGUAGGGAAUCUUGCGCAAUGGGCGAAAGCCUGACGCAGCCAUGCCGCGUGAAUGAUGAAGGUCUUAGGAUUGUAAAAUUCUUUCACCGGGGAAGAUAAUGACGGUACCCGGAGAAGAAGCCCCGGCUAACUUCGUGCCAGCAGCCGCGGUAAAAC